rnacentral:lncRNA from 13 species
UAUAAAAUUGACAAAUUAAGAAAUGAAAGAUAAACAUCUAAACUCACAAGUUAACCAAGUUAUUUAAUCAAUUUAGACUUCUAGGAUUGAUGGUUCCCAAGAUUUUCUGGUGUAUCUUGGCUUUUAAAAUGUAGAUACAAGCCAAAUAGUUCCUAAAGUAAUGUAAAGGGUUUACACAGUCUUAAAUUUUUUUAUUUUCUGAUUUAGAAAGUAUAAGGAGAGGCCGGGCUCGGUGGCUCAAGCCUGUAAUCCCAGCACUUUGGGAGGCCGAGGCGGGUGGAUCACGGGGUCAGGAGACUGAGACUAUCCUGGUCAACAUGGUGAAACCCCGUCUCUACUAAAAAUACAAAAAAUUAGCUGGGCAUGGUGGCGCGUGCCUGUAAUCCCAGCUACUCAGGAGGCUGAGGCAGGAGAAUUGCCUGAACCCAGGGGGCGGAGGUUGCGGUGAGCCGAGAUCGCGCCAUUGCACUCCAGCCUGGGUAACAAAAGCAAAACUCCGUCUCAAAAAAAAAAGAAAGUAUAAGAUUUUUUUUUUUUUUCCUGGAUAAACACAACUUCUUUAAAGGGUGGGAAGAGAUGGUUAAAAUUUAAAAUAAUUGUGUAAUGAAUAUGUUUUUGAAAAGCAUUAGCAGAAAUAGAUUUUCCUGACAAUUACAUGACAUAGUGAUAUCUGUGAUUGAUUACAAACACAGAAUACAGAAAUGUAUUGUCUUAGCUUUGGUUUUCCAGAAAGUAAAGUCUGAAGGAGAUGGCUUAACUGAUGCUACUCUAAUGGGGUAUGAGAUGGCAGGUGAUCCCAGGAAGAGGAGUAAGGGACAAGGAAGUGAACCGGAGAGGAGGGAGAGUUAAAAUGAUAAUGCAUUAUUUAGUUAGCUACUCCUAAGUACAACUGAGAGCUGGAUCGCAUAGCAGUGUCCCCAAGAAUCUACAGAGGCUGUGUCUCAAGCCAUUUCAUCAGAGGAAUUUGCAAACUUGCUUCCUUCUCUCAUUAGUCACAGGUUUACCCCAAGAAUAUAACAGUUUAUUCCCCAUUCCCAGGACAGAAAAUGAAAAGUUUAUGAAAACAGUCUGGGAUAAAACAUGCUCAGGAUAUGCAUGUGUGAAAUGGCUGGGCCAAGAGACAGGUUCAAAUAAAAGUUAGUGGAAGCUGUUAUCCAUGUCAACAUUGAACCAGAAGGUAAAGAAUUUUAUAAUACAUUAACAUUUUACCUACAGAUUAUUUUUAUCAAUUCCUCUAAGGAUAUAUAA